CAUGGAUAAGUCCAACCUAGACCUAGAAUAACCUCAGGGGCUCGGUAAUGUCUUGUGGAAACAAUGGAGCUAUGGUUUUGAUUAUCAAAUGCAGUACUACCAAAAUCAAUCAGCUUAAUGGCACUUGACUUUGGCAAGCACCUGAAAUGCGUUUCAUCUGAAGAAUUUUUCUUGCAGCCCGGGACCUUUAUAUAUUCAGAAGACACAAGAAGUAUAUUUUCUGGCUUCAGGUCAGUAUGAAUUAGGCGUAAAUCAUGCAUAUCUGCCAGAUAUGAUAAAUCAUAUAAAAGAUGUUACACAAUGGGGAUGAAAUAUCAAAAGCAAUCCUGCCCCUGGAUAAAGAAUACAGGCUAAGAAACAGAAUGGAGAGAUUGAUCAGGAUAGAUGAGAAUGUAAUAAAACAGUAUGCAAGAACAAUCCACACACAUGCUACAGAUUCCAAUAGCUGACGUCCAAAUUCCCGAACAAGAUCCACAGGGAAUGGGCAGUAUUUAUUUCUCUUUAGAAAAUCAAAUAAACUUGGUCCAAGCUUCUCAAAUACCUGGUAACAUCAUUAAAAUGCAUUCAAAGGAAGGUUUCUGUUUAGUUCUCAGCUUGCUGAAUGAAGUCAAUGUCAACAAAUCGCAUUUAAACUAACCCUACUGAUUAAACAAAUAUAUUACAUCUUACAUUAUCUUAACGAACCAAUCCAGUAAAAGCUCUAGAAGAGAAAGAAAAAAAGUCAAAAAGAAAUGAGGGCCAUGCACAUUUAGGCAUAUAUUACAAUAAUUAACAAGAGCAACCACAGAGAAAUGAGACAAAUUUACUCCAAAAAUGAUAGUAGGGAUAGUUUUUAAAGUGGAGAUCAAUUAGAAUCCAGCACCUUCUUAGGCAUUAAAAGCAAAACCGACUACUGAAUCCAUUACAAUAUUCCUAAGAAAAAGACUGGCAACAAUAAAAGAAAUUAGAACAAAAUGACAGGCGCCAUUGGAAUACUUACAAUACAAAUGUGAUUGCGGUAAUCAAACCAGUUUUGAAUCUGCACGCAGCUGUAUGAGGGAAAUAACAUGCAGGACAAUGAGAAAAUGUGGCAGGUUGAGUGAAGAUAUGCAGAAGCAACUAUUCUAUCAACUGAAACCCAGAAAAUAUGAGUGAAGAUAUGAACAAGCAACUAUGUUGUCAACUGAAAUCCAGAAAAUAUGUACCGUGAGCCACUAGCUUUAUCAUUUUUAGCAAGAUGAUGAAGUAUGUCAACUUCAAUCAUGGCUGCAUCACGAUAUUUACUUAUGCUACGAACUACUUUGAUAGCCACAUACUCCCGUGUUUGACGAUCCCAACAUUCCAAAACUCGGCCAAAAGUGCCUACAACACUAGCAAUUUGCUGAGUAGUACAAGCAGAGUCACAAAAAUUUACGAUCUUGUAUAUAGCAUUAGCACUUGGCUGCUAACCUUCACCCAUCUUGCUGAGUAUUUUAUAUCGUGGAGUUAGAUUCUCCCCAAGAUUAAACACGUAAUGCCCCUCACGAUCGUCGUCCCUUUUCGGUGGUGAGGCAUGCCUUGAGGCCCUUUCGUUUCCAGUCACCACCAGAGCUCUUUGCGCCUACAGACAUCCAGCAAACAAAACCACGCCCAGCUAAGUUAGAUAGCCCGAACAUUGAUUAAUUCUUAUCCAUCCAAAAACCCUAAAACUAUAGCACAAUCCUUUGUGCUCGCUCGCAGUUCGAGACUCGUGAACCCUCUCUAAGAAAACCCUAACCCUAGCCCGAAUUGAAGACCCGCAAACUAACCCACCUCUAGUUCAGAUGGGCCCACGUCCCAAGCGAGGCGAGGCCGUUUCCUGAUUCGCUCCUUUUUCAUUUUCUCAACUUCCGCCACCAUACUCAACCAAGCAAGCAAGCAAAUGAUCUCACUGUUCGAGCUACAAAGACAUCUGCAACACAAAUUUCUAAGACAUUGAAGAAAAUUAGGGUUUUGCUGUUGAGACAAGACUUGGGAGGUAAGGGUCGAGAAAAGAAUAGUUAAUGUUCCUGA
rnacentral:misc_RNA from 1 species